UUCCGUAGGUGAACCUGCGGAAGGAUCAUUAUCGAGUUUUGACCGGGUUGUAGCUGGCCUUCCGAGGCAUGUGCACGCCCUGCUCAUCCACUCUACACCUGUGCACUUACUGUGGGCUUCAGAUUGCGAGGCACGCUCUUUACCGGGCUUGCGGAGCAUAUCUGUGCCUGCGUUUAUCACAAACUCUAUAAAGUAACAGAAUGUGUAUUGCGAUGUAACACAUCUAUAUACAACUUUCAGCAACGGAUCUCUUGGCUCUCGCAUCGAUGAAGAACGCAGCGAAAUGCGAUAAGUAAUGUGAAUUGCAGAAUUCAGUGAAUCAUCGAAUCUUUGAACGCACCUUGCGCUCCUUGGUAUUCCGAGGAGCAUGCCUGUUUGAGUGUCAUGAAAUCUUCAACCUACAAGCUUUUGUGGUUUGUAGGCUUGGACUUGGAGGCUUGUCGGCCGUUAUCGGUCGGCUCCUCUUAAAUGCAUUAGCUUGGUUCCUUGCGGAUCGGCUCUCGGUGUGAUAAUGUCUACGCCGCGACCGUGAAGCGUUUGGCGAGCUUCUAACCGUCUUAUAAGACAGCUUUAUGACCUCUGACCUCAAAUCAGGUAGGACUAC
rnacentral:rRNA from 1 species